UACGUAGGCAGCAAGCGUUGUUCGGAAUUACUGGGCGUAAAGAGUGUGUAGGCGGUGCUCUAAGUCUGUUGUGAAAUCUCCCGGCUUAACUGGGAGGGUGCGGCGGAGACUGGAGUGCUAGAGUGUGGGAGAGGUAAGCGGAAUUCCUGGUGUAGCGGUGAAAUGCGUAGAUAUCAGGAGGAACACCAAUUGCGAAGGCAGCUCGCUGGAACGUAACUGACGCUGAGACACGAAAGCGUGGGGAGCAAACAGG
rnacentral:rRNA from 1 species